rnacentral:rRNA from 1 species
UACGUAGGGGGCAAGCGUUGUCCGGAAUCAUUGGGCGUAAAGCGCGUGUAGGCGGCCCGAUAAGUCCGCUGUGAAAGUCCAGGGCUCAACCCUGGGAUGCCGGUGGAUACUGUCGGGCUCGAGUCCGGAAGAGGCGAGUGGAAUUCCUGGUGUAGCGGUGAAAUGCGCAGAUAUCAGGAAGAACACCCGUGGCGAAGGCGGUUCUCUGGGACGGUACUGACGCUGAGACGCGAAAGCGUGGGGAGCAAACGGG